rnacentral:rRNA from 1 species
AGCUAAUAGAUACCCCGGUAGUCCACGCCCUAAACGAUGUCUACUAGUUGUUGGUGGAGUAAAAUCCAUGAGUAAACGCAGCUAAACGCGUGAAGUAGACCGCCUGGGGAGUACGGUCGCAAGAUUAAAAACUCAAAGGAAUUGACGGGGGCCCGCACAAGCGGUGGAUUAUGUGGAUUAAAUUCGAUGCAACGCGAAAAACCUUACCUGGCCUUGACAUGCCACUAACGAAGCAGAGAUGCAUUAGGUGCCCGUAAGGGAAAGUGGACACAGGUGCUGCAUGGCUGUCGUCAGCUCGUGUCGUGAGAUGUUGGGUUAAGUCCCGCAACGAGCGCAACCCUUGCCAUUAAUUGCCAUCAUUUAGUUGGGUCACUUU